CACGUAGGGUGCGAGCGUUGUCCGGAAUUAUUGGGCGUAAAGGGCGCGUAGGCGGCCAGCACAAGUCAGUUGUGAAAUCUCCGAGCUUAACUCGGAAAGGUCAACUGAUACUGUGCGGCUAGAGUGCGGAAGGGGCAACUGGAAUUCUUGGUGUAGCGGUGAAAUGCGUAGAUAUCAAGAGGAACACCUGCGGCGAAGGCGGGUUGCUGGGCCGACACUGACGCUGAGGCGCGAAAGCUAGGGGAGCGAACGGG
rnacentral:rRNA from 1 species